GUCAGGAUGGCCGAGCGGUCUAAGGCGCUUCGUUCAGGUCGCAGUCCGGUCUUCCGGGGGUGGGUUCGAAUCCCACUUCUGUCA
rfam:Ixodes scapularis strain Wikel colony gcontig_1108378594292, whole genome shotgun sequence.